GUGCCAGCCGCCGCGUAAUACGGAGGAUGCAAGCGUUAUCCGGAAUUAUUGGGCGUAAAGGUCCGCAGCGGCUAGAUAAGUCUGCUUUCAAAGAGUGGGGCUCAACCCCAUAGGGUNGUGGAAACUGUUUAGCUAGAGUAUGGUAGGGGCAGAGGGAAUUCCCAGUGUAGCGGUGAAAUGCGUAGAUAUUGGGAAGAACACCAGUGGCGAAGGGCUCUGCUGGACCGAGACUGACGCUGAGGGACGAAAGCUAGGGGAGCGAAAGGGAUUAGAUACCCCUGUAGUCCUAGCUGUAAACGAUGGACACUAGGUGUUGCGCGUAUCGACCCGUGCAGUGCCGUAGCUAACGCGUUAAGUGUCCCGCCUGGGGAGUACGCACGCAAGU
rnacentral:rRNA from 1 species